rnacentral:misc_RNA from 1 species
AAGUCGUAACAAGGUUUCCGUAAGUAAACCUGCGGACGUAUCCAAACGUAAAAAACUCCCCCCGUGAACAUUCAAUCCUGCUCUUGGAACUCGCGUAGUUCGCAAUCUCUGGUAAAUCAUAGCCCGGAAAGUAGUUUUGAUUCAGAGAGAACAUUGGAACAGUUACACAAUCGAGCGGUAGUUUCAAAGGCAUUGUUUCCCCAAGCAGUCAGUGUCUGAAAGUGUCACUGAUUGUGCAAGGAUACGCUUCAACUAUUCCUGUAGACCGUACACUCGGGCAGGAGCUAUGCCAAAAGGUCUCCAUGCCCCCUUAUAACUCCACACUUUAAUGUGAAGCUCAAUGUAAUACACUGUUAACAAUGGAUAUCUUGGUUCUU